UUGCCUCCCAGUGAUUAAAGGUGCAUUCUACCACACCAAUGGCGAGAUUUUGUAACCACUAGUUUAUGCUGGAUAUACCGCUUUCUUCUGGGCUGGAAUAUGUUGUGUGAUGGACAGGACCAAUCCCCAGAAAAACCCUCCCUUAAAACUAAGUAUAGUGAGCUUCCCUAACAGAUAUCAUUUCACAGCUUCCUGCUGGGGAGUUAAGUACAUAUUACAUGACCAAUGGAGAGAAGACUCUUCUCCAGACAUAGUUCCUCCUUUUAAUGUUUCUUUAUGAUCUCCUACUAAACUAAAGUAUAGCCAUACUGAGUCUUUGUGAGCCAUGGUGAAUCACCAAAUCUGCAGAUGACCUUGGCUCACAGAAGAAAUAAAUUCAAAAUAAAAGAUUGGACCAAGAUAGUGGACUAAGGAUAUUCUUCUGCCUUUCAAGUGGCUUCACAUUACCUGGAAUAACAGAAGUAUUAUUUUUAAAACACUCAAUCAAUAAUAAACCUAGAAAACAGGAAACAGUGCCAGUGGCCAACUUAAAUGCCUAAGGAAUUCCGGCAAUGUCAAGAGUACUCAGAACCAGACUAUCUAGGCAAACCACCAAACCACACCAUGAGCUUGGGAGGAGGCUGUCGGCAGUGGAAAACAAUAGCGCCAUCCAGGCUCCAAAUAUGUAGACAAAGACAAGGAUAGAAUCCAACCACCCAGUCACCAGGAAACAGCAGCUGGGAUCGCUAAGAGUGUUAGAACUGAACCCCACAGCUUGAGUCACCCACAGUCCACCAAACAUCCCAAGGACAAUCCCACUCAACAACAGAGGAAAAAGUCAGCGAUUCUGAGAUGAGGCUACAGCCAAUGAGACAGGCAGGAAACAAGAAUUAUCAAAUUCGAGAUAAGGCACUCUCGCUUGAAUUCUACCCCAGACAUCGUGGGUCUGUGUUCUCCACUCUGGUCCAAAACAGAAUCUGACAGUGACGUCUGUACCAAGGCGCAAGGAACAAGAUUCCACUCGAGUCCAGCUGGCAGCAGCCAAAAUCCACAAAGGAAAAUGGAGUCAGUGUGAAAGGAAGUGAUUUUGAAGUGGAAGAUAAGUUGAAAGGAUCCACUAUGCAGCAUCCAUGAGGCCAUCAUCCCUAAUGAAGUAGAGCUUAGCAUGGUCCAACUGCUUUGGAGUCACCUGGUCUCCUGUACAUAACCCCUCGCUUCUCUCUAGGAAAAGUCAGCGCAACAACACAACACUAAGAACAAACAGACCUCAUCCCCUCUACAGAACAUGGACAAAUUCCACAAGAGGUAAUGCUGCAGCCAGGCACAGAGGAGCACACACGCUCUGCUUCCAUGAACACAAAACGGAAAAGCAGGCAAAACUCAACCACUGUAUUAGAAAUCAAAACAGUGGCUAUCCUUUGUGAUGAGCUGCCCGAGGAGGCCAUAAGAGGAAAAACAGGAGGAGCCCAUCACCUUGGAGCCAGAUAAAACCCCUCAGCAGCUGAGAUGCAAGAAUCCCAACACAAGACCAAUGCCUGUGGUAAAGGCUGCCAAAGACUGAAGCCUGAAUGCACAGGAUGCUGAGUAUCCCCCCUCCUCCCCAGCCACUGCCAGAGGCUCUCAAACAAGAUUUCACCUUAUUUAUGCAAGGACACCUUACC